rnacentral:rRNA from 1 species
AGAGUUUGAUCAUGGCUCAGAUUGACGCUGCGGCAGGCUUACACAUGCAGUCGACGGUUACGGGAGGAGCUUGCUUCUUGCUGACGAGUGCGACCGGGUGAGUAAUGCUGGGGAUCUGGCUUAUGGAGGGGAUAACUACGGGAAACUGUAGCUUAUACCGCGUAAUAUCUUCGAUUAAAGGGUGGGACUUUCGGGCCACCUGCCAUAAGAUGAGCCCAAGUGGGAUUAGGUAGUUGGUGGGGUAAAGGCCUUACCAAGCCGACGAUCUCUAGCUGGUCUGAGAGGAUGACCAGCCACACUGGAACUGAGACACGGUCCAGACUCCUACGGGAGGCAGCAGUGGGGAAUAUUGCACAAUGGGGGGAACCCUGAUGCAGCCAUGCCGCGUGAAUGAAGAAGGCCUUCGGGUUGUAAAGUUCUUUCGGUGAUGAGGAAGGUGUUUGUUUUAAUAGAGCAAGCAAUUGACGUUAGUCACAGAAGAAGCACCGGCUAACUCCGUGCCAGCAGCCGCGGUAAUACGGAGGGUGCGAGCGUUAAUCGGAAUGACUGGGCGUAAAGGGCACGCAGGCGGUGACUUAAGUGAGAUGUGAAAGCCCCGAGCUUAACUUGGGAAUUGCAUUUCAUACUGGGUCGCUAGAGUAUUUUAGGGAGGGGUAGAAUUCCACGUGUAGCGGUGAAAUGCGUAGAGAUGUGGAGGAAUACCGAAGGCGAAGGCAGCCCCUUGGGAAUAUACUGACGCUCAUGUGCGAAAGCGUGGGGAGCAAACAGGAUUAGAUACCCUGGUAGUCCACGCUGUAAACGCUGUCGAUUUGGGGAUUGGGCUUUAAGCUUGGUGCCCGUAGCU